rnacentral:rRNA from 1 species
AUUGAACGCUGGCGGCAUGCCUUACACAUGCAAGUCGAACGGCAGCGCGGACUUCGGUCUGGCGGCGAGUGGCGAACGGGUGAGUAAUACAUCGGAACGUACCCUGUUGUGGGGGAUAACUAGUCGAAAGAUUAGCUAAUACCGCAUACGACCUGAGGGGGAAAGUGGGGGACCGGAAACGGCCUCAUGCAGCAGGAGCGGCCGAUGUCUGAUUAGCUAGUUGGUGGGGUAAAGGCCCACCAAGGCGACGAUCAGUAGCUGGUCUGAGAGGACGAUCAGCCACACUGGGACUGAGCCACGGCCCAGACUCCUACGGGAGGCAGCAGUGGGGAAUUUUGGACAAUGGGGGCAACCCUGAUCCAGCAAUGCCGCGUGUGUGAAGAAGGCCUUCGGGUUGUAAAGCACUUUUGUCCGGAAAGAAAUCGCGCUGGUUAAUACCUGGCGUGGAUGACGGUACCGGAAGAAUAAGCACCGGCUAACUACGUG